CCUACGGGAGGCAGCAGUAGGGAAUAUUGCGCAAUGGGGGAAACCCUGAAGCAGCAACGCCGCGUGGAGGAUGAAGGUUUUCGGAUUGUAAACUCCUUUUGUUAGAGAAGAGAAUGACGGUAUCUAACGAAUAAGCACCGGCUAACUCCGUGCCAGCAGCCGCGGUAAUACGGAGGGGGCAAGCGUUACUCGGAAUCACUGGGCGUAAAGAGCGCGUAGGCGGGAUAGCAAGUCAGAUGUGAAAUCCUAUGGCUUAACCAUAGAACUGCAUUUGAAACUGUUAUUCUAGAGUAUGGGAGAGGUAGGUGGAAUUCUUGGUGUAGGGGUAAAAUGCGUAGAGAUCAAGAGGAAUACUCAUUGCGAAGGCGACCUGCUAGAACAUAACUGACGCUGAUGCGCGAAAGCGUGGGGAGCAAACAGGAUUAGAUACCCUUGUAGUC
rnacentral:rRNA from 1 species